UCUAAUAUGGCAGAUUAGUGCAAUGGACUUAAGCCCCAUAUAUAAAGCCAGGCUUUUUUUAGAA
rnacentral:tRNA from 1 species